rnacentral:misc_RNA from 1 species
UCUCCGUUGGUGAACCAGCGGAGGGAUCAUUACCGAGUUUACAACUCCCAAACCCAAUGUGAACCAUACCAAACUGUUGCCUCGGCGGGGUCACGCCCCGGGUGCGUCGCAGCCCCGAAACCAGGCGCCCGCCGGAGGGACCAACCAAACUCUUUCUGUAGUCCCCUCGCGGACGUUAUUUCUUACAGCUCUGAGCAAAAAUUCAAAAUGAAUCAAAACUUUCAACAACGGAUCUCUUGGUUCUGGCAUCGAUGAAGAACCAGC